UCAGUGAGCUCAGUGUUUCAAAUCUGAGUGAGCUAAUGACAUCAAAUUCAAAAGGUUUGGGUCUAAAUUUUUGUGGAUUAUUCAACAAGGAUUGUGUUCUCUUUUCAGAGGGAUAUGCAGGCAUGCAGGCAGGAGGGGACAAUGGCCAAGCAUUUGGGGUAGUAGUAAAAGGAUUGGUAAAUGGGAAGCAAAAGCAUUCUCACUCUCCACCUCACCUGGUACGGGUACAGUACCUAAUACAGGGGCACUGACACUCCGGCCACGAUCUCCAGCCAAUCAAGAAGCAGAGAAGCCACAUGAAGAAACAAGAGAGGCCAAAGUCCAACCCAAAAGAGUUACAGGGAAGCAAAGAAAUAAAAAAGAGUGUCAUCAAGCAAGAGAGAAAAACUCAAAAGAAAAAUAAUCCCAUGAAGAAAGAUGGGUUUGACCAUUCUGGAAUUUCAUGAAACAUUUUGCCCUUAAGCUGAAAGCCCUUCUUCACCUGAGUUCUUCUUCAUUGAUGGAGAGAGUUCUCUCUGAAGGCCCUGGAAGCAUGAAGGCUGGAAGUAUUAUGGUGGACCACUGGUAUAUGAACUGUUCAGAAGCUUGUAAUUGUACCACAAAACCCUAAUAUCAUUUUGCCUUUGUUAAGAAAGAAUAAUAAAACAAAAGGGACAUUAAGAGAGUUAUUUGGAAGAUUCUUCAUAUCAUCUGAGCAAAGGCUAUCAUGAGGGUCAUUUCAAGGUCAAAGUUCACUCCUAGAACAGAGGUAAAACACCCUUCUCCAGCUUUCUUAUUUUUUUUCUUUUUUGCCUGGGGACAAUCAGGUCCUGACAGAGGCUUGGACUAAGAUCCCAAAGGAUUAGAGAAAAGAAAUCUGUAACAUUUGUGGGGGGACUGGAAGAUGUCCUCAGCAGUGACUUGUUAGCCACAAUCCUGGCAGAGGCAUGGCUUCUUCUCAAGAAGAGACAGAAGCAGAGAUUCCUGAAUUCCUUUCUUGUGAAACUGCUGCCUUUUCAGGAUCUGUGAUGGGGGCUGAGGUCAAUGGCAUGAGUGCAGACAAGGCAGGCAGCCUAGCAUAUGCUACACUGUGCCUAUAAGAACACAAAUGUGUUUGCAUAUCAUAGCAGUAUUGGUGGCAAAUAUGAAACAACAGCUCUCCCUGUCCAGUAAUUUCUUGUAAAAACCAGGCACCUGGUGAUGCACGGAAGACUCCCAGGUGUCCUUGGAGGAGCUCUAGGUUCUCUAAGAGGAAGACAAGCUCUACUCUCCAAUGGGAACACUUAUUUCUGAUCCAGGUUUGUUUCCAUUCUAAAGGGUAUUCUGACACGUGUAGAAUAUCCUCUAAGGGUGGAAAUUCCCAGGUAAAAAAGUUGAAGAUUUUAUUUUCUUGAUGAUUUGCACAGUCCCUGGAAGUUAUGAGCUGACUAUCACUUGAUAACAUUUUUGGAAUCAACAAAUUCCACUUUUCCACUAUCAAGGAGAGUCCAAAAAGCUUCAUUCUCCAGUAGAUUUUCUCCAACUGGAGAUAAAGAAUCAUCUGGCAGAAUUACCCCUGGAUUUGACUUAGCAGAUAAAAUACUGUUCAGGGAAAAUGGAAGACUUGCUCUUGUUCUUACCUUGAGUUGCCAUCACGAUCUCCUUCACCCUUCGGUACUGGUUCAAGAGCCCUGUGAGCUCCUCUAUCCGACGGUCCUGCCAUCAUGCAAGGGAUUUAGAUUAGCACCACUACUGGAUUUCAUUUUGGGACCCAGCUAUAUUCUGGGCACAUUAAGAAGAAAACCCACAUGGAACUUCUGGAGCAUCCCAAAGGGAAAGAGUCAAGGUCCAUCCCAUGGAACAGGGUCCCAGAGGUCUGAUACUCAUGACUCUAUCUGAAGGUUGUGGGCCAACAAUCACUGACAUAUCCUUCAAGGGUCUUAAACAUUUCAGAAGCAUGAAACUCUCUGCCCCCUACCUCCCUGAAGUAGCCACCAACAAAGUCUGCCUCCUGCUCCAGUGUUACCCUCUGAAGUUGCACAGAAAAAAGACUAAAAAAAAAAAAGCUGUCAUAUUUAACCUGAUAUAUUCACCUCUUCCUUAGGUGUCAGAGAUACUCACAUACAGAAGAAAUUUCCAGAGGGGAUAGGUUCUUUCAAGCAAGGGUCUACCAACUUGGGAGACCACAAAGAUCUUGGAGUCAGACACCAUUGGGUGUGAACCCUGGCUCUGCUCUCCACUAGUUACCUGACCCUGGGGAAAGGAUCCUUACAGAUGAUGUUUACAUUAUCUAGGUGCUUUUUAUUUAUAGGUGUGUUUAUUUAUGAUUAUGCAAGAAUGAGGUGUGAAGAAUAUAAGGUGGCAGGGUAAACCAAGGUAUUGCAUGUUACCCAGUGUCUUUAUGAUACUUGUAUAAAAAAAGAUUGUAUACACGAAUAUUGGUGGACCGUUUCUGAGUUUUGCUAGGAAUCAAAGCAGGAGCUAUUACAUUGGCAUUAACCAUAGUAGUAUUUUUCCCCGACACUAGCAUAAAUAGGCAGGGCUUUAAUUUGCCUUUGAAAGAUUCCAUUUAGGCAAAGUUCCCAGGCAUCCAAAACAGGUGCUGAAACUGAGUCUCUAGGAGGCAGAAGCUAUCUUCCUGGCAUCUGCCUGUUGAUGGCCCAAGGGACACAGCUCUGUCUAGUACCAGAGAGCAACAGGAACAAACAGAGCUAGAGGUGUUAUCAGGGAAAGGACAAUGGCUAUCUUACCUUAUCUUCAUUGGCAACAAGCAGUGUUUCCAUCCCCAUCUUCAGACGUUGAAUUUCUUGAUCUAAAAGAAUUUAGGCAAAGAAAGGAUUAUUUGUAUAAAUACAAACAGCUAUCAACAUAUGUUAAGAUGCCACUCAAGUUCAAACUUGUUAUGUGAACUUGGAUUGUUUCUUUAAAGAGCCUGGGAUGGUAUCUGGUACACAGUUAGUCUCAUAAAAUAUUUGUUUGACUAUUAAGUGAAUGAACCUGGUAUUUUGUCUUCUCUUUGUAGACAUUCAUGGGAAAAAUAAAAAUGCCAUUUAUGCAAAAGUGACACAGAAGAACCAAAAAUCUUUUACAAUCAACCUCUCCCAAGAAGGCAGAUAUUCUUAUUCUCAUAGGCAUAUGUCUAGGCUGCUAGCUUGUUUUUCUUUUUCUUAUUUUAAGAAACAGACUAUAAGUAGAGGAGAAUUUAAAAUAAGAAAAAUAAAAAUCUACAUCUAAAUGGAUACUGAGAAAAAUGAUUAUGUAAGAGUUUGGGGUAGUCAACUUAAUUUCAAAUAGUAUAAUCAGAAUUUUCAAAUGUUCAGAUACAUAAAUAAAUAUAUUAAACAAUCUCUACCAUUAAGGGAAAAUAAUCUUGUUUCAUUAUAAACCUACAGAAUUUCCCUGUGGGCUGAGGGCUCUGUGUUGGUCUGUGAUAGAAAACCCAUAUUUUUUUCUCACUUUAGACCCAUGAGGGACCCGUUUGAAUUCUUCCCAAACUUGUCUGAAGAACCAGG